rnacentral:rRNA from 1 species
UACGGAGGGAGCUAGCGUUGUUCGGAAUUACUGGGCGUAAAGCGCACGUAGGCGGCUUUGUAAGUUAGAGGUGAAAGCCCGGGGCUCAACUCCGGAACUGCCUUUAAGACUGCAUCGCUUGAAUCCGGGAGAGGUGAGUGGAAUUCCGAGUGUAGAGGUGAAAUUCGUAGAUAUUCGGAGGAACACCGAUGGCGAAGGCAAUCCCCUGGGCCUGCACUGACGCUCAUGCACGAAAGCGUGGGGAGCAAACAGG